AUGUAAAGUUCCUUGGCCAAAGCAAAGCUGCAAGCUUGUGGCUAAACCAGGAAGAGUGCUGGUCCCAAGUCUCCUUCCUCUAACCGUAAGACUCUGCAAUAAUCUGCUUAAGCCGAUAUGUUUGAGGAACGAGUUACUGAAUUUGAAACAAGAUGGAUGUUGUCUUUUAAAAUAGUUGUAUCUGACCACAAGCUUAUACCAAAACUCAGUUGCUCAAGGGAUCAUCAGCCAAGAAGCCUUUUUGCCAGGAAAAGAGAGAAUUUGACAGAGCUGUCAUGAGUUGGAGGUUUUUAAUUGGAACUCAGGAGAGCUGCUCAACAACUUGUGGCUGAGGAAAAAGAAAUACCAUAA